AGCAGUCAGGAGCAGGACCAUGGGGUCAGGAGACUGGCUCUGUCCUUUGGGCUGCUCUGCAGAGCAUAGAGUGACCCUGUGCAGCUGCAAACACCGUGCCAGGUCUGCCUUAGGCACUGGUGCUGCAGGGUCCCUGCUCCCAGCCUCUGAAGAAGAAAAGGAAUUCCUUUUUGUCUAUAGGGCAGUUGAAGGCUUUGUCUCCAGCCUGAACAGCGUGGUGCAAGGGUGGCGGUGUUGAGGAUUGCUUGAAUUCACGGCAGAUGGCAUCUGGACAUGAUGGAACUCAGGAGCCUUAGGUUGCAUUUAGAUUGGUCUCAGGAAGAUGUGCAAAUCACUGUACACAAAAGGAAAUGAAACCAUUAAAAGGGAUACCUGUGAGCUGUAAACUCCGAGAGGAAGAAAUUACUAUCAGUUUGACAGCUUAUCAAAUGAAAGAAAAAGAAGUCUUUGAAGAAUCUGAAGGCAUUGGAAUACAUUAUGCAAUUUCCUGGACUUUAUGCUACCUCUUGCAUUUUAGAAAAUGAAACACGGAAAAAGCAAGAUCUUCUCAUAGUGUUGAGGGCCAUCUAUUCUUGUACUUCAAGAACAUGGUUUAGAAAGGGGAUCUCCUACUGCCUCUGCCCAGGCAGCCUUCUCAUCUUCCAGAACGAUAUGCUUGUGAAACGAAGACCUACAGCUAGGUUUUCCUCAUAGGAGCACAGAAAAUACUGCAGGUUUAUAGACAGUGUUCCAUCAGAAAUCCUCAUAAAAUGGAAGCAGUUGUUUAUCUCUUUACAAUAAUAAUAAUAAAAAAAAAGAUUCUGAGUCCCACUGGCUUUUUACUCUUAAACCUAGU